GGGGGAAAUUAAGAAGGACGCAGGCGGGCUGGACCUCUCGGGGUUACAGCCUUGCUGAAUUAUUCACCCUUGUCUUUUGCGUACUUCUUGUUUCCUUGGUGGGUUCGCCCACCACUAGGACAAACAUAAACCUUUUGUAAUUGCAAUCAGCGUCAGUAACAAAUUAAUAAUUACAACUUUCAACAACGGAUCUCUUGGUUCUGGCAUCGAUGAAGAACGCAGCGAAAUGCGAUAAGUAGUGUGAAUUGCAGAAUUCAGUGAAUCAUCGAAUCUUUGAACGCACAUUGCGCCCUUUGGUAUUCCAAAGGGCAUGCCUGUUCGAGCGUCAUUUGUACCCUCAAGCUUUGCUUGGUGUUGGGCGUCUUGUCUCUAGCUUUGCUGGAGACUCGCCUUAAAGUAAUUGGCAGCCGGCCUACUGGUUUCGGAGCGCAGCACAAGUCGCACUCUCUAUCAGCAAAGGUCUAGCAUCCAUUAAGCCUUUUUUUCAACUUUUGACCUCGGAUCAGGUAGGGAUACCCGCUGAACUUAAG
rnacentral:rRNA from 1 species